ACCCUACAUUUGAAAAUGAUAUGCAUGCAGCAUGAGCGCAUGUGUUUAUUAUUGUUUAUCGUAUGUUGUUAAGUAAAUAUAAAAAGGGUUCUUGAUGUCCCUGAAACAACUCAUCAACCUCUCUCAACAAUGGCUACCAUUCCUUCCCACAACCUUCUUCUUCCUAACCCCACGAUCAACCAAUCAGCUCACUCUCUUUCCUUUAAACCACAAUCUACUCUUCUCAAUUUCCCUGCGAGAUCAUCUCCGGCGGCCGUCACGAGGGCUGUGUCGAGAACCGACGGAGCUUCAAUAUCCUCAAGGCUCGAGCCGGUGGAAAAAUAUGAGAUCACGGCGGCGGAGGAUGUUCGCCGGCGGGAUAGAGAGGCUAAAGAAACAAAGAGUUUGAGGGACACGUGGAGGAAGAUCCAAGGGGAAGAUGAUUGGGCCGGGCUAAUGGAUCCGAUGGACCCUGUUCUAAGAUCAGAGCUGAUCCGCUACGGAGAAAUGGCCCAGGCCUGUUACGACGCUUUCGAUUUCGAUCCGUUCUCGAGAUACUGUGGAAGCUGCAGGUUCACGCGCAAAAAGCUCUUCGACUCGCUCGGAAUAUUCGACUCCGGCUACGAGGCGGCGCGUUACCUCUACGCGACGUCGAACAUCAAUCUCCCCAACUUCUUCUCGAAAUCGAGAUGGUCCAAGGUGUGGAGCAAGAACGCCAACUGGAUGGGAUACGUCGCCGUCUCCGACGACAGCGAAGCCACGCGCCACCGUCUCGGACGCCGCGACAUCGCGAUCGCGUGGAGAGGCACCGUCACGCAGCUCGAGUGGAUAGCGGAUCUCAAGGACUUCCUCAAACCGGUAUCCGGAAACGGAUUCCGGUGCCGGGACCCGGCCGUUAAAGCCGAGUCCGGGUUCCUGGAUCUCUACACGGACAAAGACACGUCGUGCAACUUCUCGAAGUUCUCGGCGAGGGAGCAGCUUCUCACGGAGGUGAAGCGGCUGGUGGAGAGAUACGGCGACGAGGAGGGGGGCGAUCUGAGCAUCACGGUGACGGGACACAGCCUCGGCGGUGCGUUGGCGGUGCUGAGCGCGUACGACGUGGCGGAGAUGGGGCUGAACAGGACGAAGAAUGGGAAGGUUGUUCCGGUGACGGUGUUCACGUACAGCGCUCCGCGGGUUGGGAACAUUCGGUUCAAGGAGAGGAUGGAGGAGCUGGGAGUGAAGGUGCUGAGGGUGGUGAACAAACACGACGUCGUCCCGAAAUCGCCGGGGCUGUUCUUGAACGAACACGCGCCCCACGCGCUUAAGCAGUUGGCGGGAGGGUUGCCGUGGUGUUACUGCCACGUGGGGGAGAAGCUAGCGUUGGAUCACCAGAACUCGCCGUUUCUAAAGCCGUCCGUUGAUAUUUCCACGGCUCAUAACUUGGAAGCUCUUCUCCAUCUACUUGACGGCUUAAUCGUUGGAGAAAAGUCAAAGACUUCUUGAGGAGACAGAUCUCAGUGUAUAUUGAGAUUCUCAAAUCUCGUAUUUUCCAAGAACUUUCUUUAUUAAUAAUACACGAUCGUAAGGGAUUUAGUAAACGUAUUAUUAUUUUCAUAAAAUGCGGGACUAAAUGAGAAUGUGAUCAUUCAGUUUGAUUAACGUGGCGGACUUUAUGGGUGGGGAGAGAAUAAUUGAAAGUAAUAAAGAAAAAAUUAGUUAAUAAUUUAAAGAAGUUGUUGCCGUGUCGUUAUCUGUCAAAGCUUGCUAUUUCUAGAUCACUCUCAUUUGUCGUAUUAGAGCAUGAAUAUCGAGGAUAGUAAAGGGUUUCUUAACCUCUGGACCCCACGAUAAGCUUAAAAAUCGGUUUCAAAAGACGUUAGAUAAAGACCAAUUGUGUUCGGUGUUUUGCCAUGUUCUCAUGCUCCACCGAUACGUGGCAUCCCGCGAUUGGUAUCAUGGGAAAGGACAGAGAUUCGUGUUAUCAAGUGGGAGAGAUCCAGCGUUAGUGAACAAAGCGUCUGAUUUCUUGAAAGACCAUUUUAUGGUACCUCCUUAUUGGCGACAAGA